rnacentral:rRNA from 1 species
CCUACGGGAGGCAGCAGUCGAGAAUCAUUCACAAUGGGGGAAACCCUGAUGGUGCGACGCCGCGUGGGGGAAUGAAGGUCUUCGGAUUGUAAACCCCUGUCAUGUGGGAGCAAAUUAAAAAGAUAGUACCACAAGAGGAAGAGACGGCUAACUCUGUGCCAGGAGCUGCGGUAAUACAGAGGUCUCAAGCGUUGUUCGGCAUCACUGGGCGUAAAGCGUGCGUAGGCUGUUUCGUAAGGCGUGUGUGAAAGGCGGGGGCUCAACCCGCGGACGGCACAUGAUACUGCGAGACUAGAGUAAUGGAGGGGGAACCGGAAUUCUCGGUGUAGCAGUGAAAUGCGUAGAUAUCGAGAGGAACACUCGUGGCGAAGGCGGGUUCCUGGACAUUAACUGACGCUGAGGCACGAAGGCCAGGGGAGCGAAAGGGAUUAGAUACCCUGGUAGUC